rnacentral:rRNA from 2 species
CCAAACUGUUGCCUCGGCGGGGUCACGCCCCGGGUGCGUCGCAGCCCCGGAACCAGGCGCCCGCCGGAGGGACCAACCAAACUCUUUAUGUAGUCCCCUCGCGGACGUUAUUUCUUACAGCUCUGAGCAAAAAUUCAAAAUGAAUCAAAACUUUCAACAACGGAUCUCUUGGUUCUGGCAUCGAUGAAGAACGCAGCGAAAUGCGAUAAGUAAUGUGAAUUGCAGAAUUCAGUGAAUCAUCGAAUCUUUGAACGCACAUUGCGCCCGCCAGUAUUCUGGCGGGCAUGCCUGUCCGAGCGUCAUUUCAACCCUCGAACCCCUCCGGGGGGUCGGCGUUGGGGAUCGGGAACCCCUAAGACGGGAUCCCGGCCCCGAAAUACAGUGGCGGUCUCGCCGCAGCCUCUCAUGCGCAGUAGUUUGCACAACUCGCACCGGGAGCGCGGCGCGUCCACGUCCGUAAAACACCCAACUUCUGAAAUGUUGACCUCGGAUCAGGUAGGAAUACCCGCUGAACUUAAGCAUAUCAAUAAGCGGAGGAA